AUACGGAGGAUCCGAGCGUUAUCCGGAUUUAUUGGGUUUAAAGGGAGCGUAGGUGGACAUGUAAGUCAGUUGUGAAAGUUUGCGGCUCAACCAUAAAAUUGCAGUUGAUACUGUGUGUCUUGAGUACAGUAGAGGUGGGCGGAAUUCGUGGUGUAGCGGUGAAAUGCUUAGAUAUCACGAAGAACUCCGAUUGCGAAGGCAGCUCACUGGACUGUUACUGACACUGAGGCUCGAAAGUGUGGGUAUCAAACAGGAUUAGAUACCCUGGUAGUCCACACAGUAAACGAUGAAUACUCGCUGUUUGCGAUAUACGGCAAGCGGCCAAGCGAAAGCAUUAAGUAUUCCACCUGGGGAGUACGCCGGCAACGGUGAAACUCAAAUGAAUUGGCGGGG
rnacentral:rRNA from 1 species